AGAUUGAACGCUGGCGGCAUGCCUAACACAUGCAAGUCGAACGGGAGUAGCAAUACUCUAGUGGCGGACGGGUGAGGAAUACGUAGGAAUUUGCCCUUAAGUGGGGGAUAACCCGGGGAAACCCGGAUUAAUACCGCAUGACCUCGAAAGAGCAAAGUGGGGGAUCGCAAGACCUCACGCUUUUGGAGAAGCCUACGUCGGAUUAGCUAGUUGGUGAGGUAAUGGCUCACCAAGGCGACGAUCCGUAACUGGUCUGAGAGGAUGAUCAGUCACACCGGAACUGAGACACGGUCCGGACUCCUACGGAGGCAGCAGUGGGGAAUAUUGGACAAUGGGCGCAAGCCUGAUCCAGCAAUGCCGCGUGUGUGAAGAAGGCCUCGGUUGUAAAGUACG
rnacentral:rRNA from 1 species